UACAGAGGUCUCAACCGUUGUUCGGAUUCAUUGGGCGUAAAGGGUGCGUAGGCGGUCGCGCAAGUCGGAUGUGAAAUCUCGGGGCUCAACCCCGAAACUGCAUUCGAUACUGCGUGGCUCGAGUACUGGAGAGGAGACUGGAAUUUACGGUGUAGCAGUGAAAUGCGUAGAUAUCGUAAGGAAGACCAGUGGCGAAGGCGAGUCUCUGGACAGCUACUGACGCUGAGCACGAAGGCCAGGGGAGCAAACGGG
rnacentral:rRNA from 1 species